rnacentral:rRNA from 1 species
UAAUAUAAAGAACGACUCUCGGCAACGGAUAUCUCGGCUCUCGCAUCGAUGAAGAACGUAGCGAAAUGCGAUACUUGGUGUGAAUUGCAGAAUCCCGUGAACCAUCGAGUCUUUGAACGCAAGUUGCGCCCCAANCCUUCGGGUCGAGGGCACGUCUGCCUGGGUGUCACGC